CAGCAGCUCGAGUGGUGAUCCUUUUUAUUGGGCCUAAAGCGUCCGUAGCCUGUUUAGUAAAUCCUUGGGUAAAUCGUACCGCUUAACGGUACGACUUCUGGGGAGACUGCUAGACUUGGGACUGGGAGAGGUCGGAGGUACUCCAGGGGUAGGGGUGAAAUCCUGUAAUCCUUGGGGACCACCAGUGGCGAAGGCGUCCGACUAGAACGGAUCCGACGGUGAGGGACGAAGCCGUGGGGCACAAACCGGAUUAGAUACCCGUGUAGUCC
rnacentral:rRNA from 1 species